GAUGAACGCUGGCGGCGUGCCUAAUACAUGCAAGUCGAGCGAAUGGAUUAAGAGCUUGCUCUUAUGAAGUUAGCGGCGGACGGGUGAGUAACACGUGGGUAACCUGCCCAUAAGACUGGGAUAACUACGGGAAAGCGGGGCUAAUACCGGAUAACAUUUUGAACCGCAUGGUUCGAAAUUGAAAGGAGGCUUCGGCUGUCACUUAUGGAUGGACCCGCGUCGCAUUAGCUAGUUGGUGAGGUAACGGCUCACCAAGGCAACGAUGCGUAGCCGACCUGCGAGGGUGAGCGGCCACACUGGGAGUGCGCCCCGGACCAGACCCCCACGGGAGGCGGCAGUAGGGAAUCUUCCGCAAUGGACGAAAGUCUGACGGAGCACCGCCGCGUGAGUGAUGAAGGCUUUCGGGUCGUAAAACUCUGUUGUUAGGGAAGAACCAGUGCUAGUUGAAUAAGCUGGCACCUUGACGGUACCUAACCAGAAAGCCACGGCUAACUACGUGCCAGCCGCCGCGGUAA
rnacentral:rRNA from 1 species